UACGUAGGGUGCAAGCGUUAAUCGGAAUUACUGGGCGUAAAGCGUGCGCAGGCGGUUGUGCAAGACCGAUGUGAAAUCCCCGGGCUUAACCUGGGAAUGGCAUUGGUGACUGUACGGCUAGAGUGUGUCAGAGGGGGGUAGAAUUCCACGUGUAGCAGUGAAAUGCGUAGAGAUGUGGAGGAAUACCGAUGGCGAAGGCAGCCCCCUGGGAUAACACUGACGCUCAUGCACGAAAGCGUGGGGAGCAAACCGG
rnacentral:rRNA from 1 species